AAUACGGCCAGAUUUCCGACACUCAGCUGAUAACAGUAUUUGUGAACGCGUAAGUAAAUAAUAGCAGUGAUAGACGUGAUAACUGCUAGACUAUUUCUCCAAGGAACCAGAAGUCUCUUGUUUCUGCCCAUCUGAGCCCCAUCCUUUCCCUGCUUGGGGUGACCUCAGGAGUCCUGAGUCCACGUUCAGAUGUCCUGCUGUUACAACAUAGUGCUGAAAUCAACCAGCUCCAGAAAUAGCAGCUGCUCGUACAAUGCCCGUCUCCAAAUCUGGCGUUGGAGAUGCGCUCUGGCAACAGCAGAGACGAGACGCCGCUGGGUCCCAAACCUCCACCACAGGCACACCCUGGGUCCCACAGCAGGGCGAGCAGUGCCCUCACCCGGGAAGGGUGUCAGUGUAUCACACCAUCCGCGGGGCCGCGGGGAAGCCAGCCCACAGACUUCCCGUUCGGUGUCCACCACACUUCUCGCUGCGCCCGGACGAACUCACGCACGCCCACGGGGACGUGUGGAAGCCGCGGGACGGAGUCCGUGGCUGACGAGCCGUCGGAGCAGCUGCCUGGCACAGACCGGCUGGGCCAGUCCGAAUCCCUCCCUCGAGAGUCUGGAUGUGGAAAUAAGAGAAUAAAGCAACUAACCACAGGCUCUAAAGCCAGAAGAUGCCACGAGGUAGGGUUGGGGCCAUCACAGGUCAGCACAGACCGAGGUGAGGAGGGAGCUCCAGUGGGAAGAGGGAGAAGAACCCUCCAGAAGCACGCAGGGGGAGUCUGGAGGGCUCUGUGGAGUGAGAGGAGCACGGAGCAGGCACCUGCAGACUCAGAAAGGCUAAGAAGCAAACCUAGCAGCCUAUGAACGGGGUACCCAGGGUGGCCCCUCGAUAACAGUGAAGAGCUCCUGAUGGACGAGUGUAGCCCUGAGCCUCCAGGAGCGUCUCUCAGUGACACCACUGGGGCAGCUCACCGCCACGCUCCUGCACCUUCCAGAACUCUCUCCCCCAUGUGUGAACAGAUACACUCAAUGGUGCUUCCUCAAGGCAGCCAGACGGGAGACUCGGAACACCUGACGGCCUCCUAAAGGCUCGUGCUCUAAAAAAAGGGGGGGGGGCUUGUGAUCUUUCUGGUUUUAUUUCUCUAAUUUCUAUUUCUGAGACCAAUUUUAAGGGAAAUAGUUGUAUGUAAAAAUACUGCACAAAUAAACUAAUAUACUGUACG
rnacentral:lncRNA from 1 species